ensembl:misc_RNA Metazoa_SRP Metazoan signal recognition particle RNA
GCCAGGCACAGUGAUGUGCACCUGUAUUCCUAAGCAAUUCAGGAGGCUGAGGCAGGAGAAUUGCUUGAGCACAGGGGUUCUAGGCUGCAGUGAGCUAUGAUCAUGCCACUGCACUCUAGCCUGGGUGACAGAGCAAGACCCUGUCUCUA